rnacentral:rRNA from 1 species
AGAACACGUCCGACGGUGAGGGAUGAAAGCUGGGGGAGCAAACCGGAUUAGAUACCCGGGUAGUCCCAGCUGUAAACUAUGCAAACUCAGUGAUGCAUUGGCUUGUGGCCAAUGCAGUGCUGCAGGGAAGCCGUUAAGUUUGCCGCCUGGGAAGUACGUACGCAAGUAUGAAACUUAAAGGAAUUGGCGGGGGAGCACCACAAGGGGUGAAGCCUGCGGUUCAAUUGGAGUCAACGCCAGAAAUCUUACCCGGAGAGACAGCAGAAUGAAGGUCAAGCUGAAGACUUUACCAGACAAGCUGAGAGGUGGUGCAUGGCCGUCGCCAGCUCGUGCCGUGAGAUGUCCUGUUAAGUCAGGUAACGAGCGAGAUCCCUGCCUCUAGUUGCCACCAUUACUCUCAGGAGUAGUGGGGCGAAUUAGCGGGACCGCCGCAGUUAAUGCGGAGGAAGGAAGGGGCCACGGCAGGUCAGUAUGCCCCGAAACUCUGGGGCCACACGCGGGCUGCAAUGGUAACGACAAUUGGUUUCGAAUCCGAAAGGAUGAGGUAAUCCUCAAACGUUACCACAGUUAUGACUGAGGGCUGCAACUCGCCCUCACGAAUAUGGAAUCCCUAGUAACUGCGUGUCAUUAUCGCGCGGUGAAUACGUCCCUGCUCCUUGCACACACCGCCCGUCGUUUCAUUGAAGUGAGCUUUUAGCGAGGUGACGUCUAAUUGGCGUUAUCGAACUUGAGGUUCGUGACAAGGGAAAAGUCGUAACAAGGUGACCGUAGGGGAACCUGCGGUCG